UGACUCUGGUUUCUCUUCAUUACGCACAAGCCUUUCGCCUUUUACUAAAGACUUCGUGGAGAGGAACACUUACGAGUUCCACUAUUUUUGGAGCGGCUUUGCUUCUUGCAGAGCC
rnacentral:snRNA from 1 species